UGGGGAAUUUUGGACAAUGGGGGAAACCCUGAUCCAGCCAUCCCGCGUGUGCGAUGAAGGCCUUCGGGUUGUAAAGCACUUUUGGCAGGAAAGAAACGUCAUGGGUUAAUACCCCGUGAAACUGACGGUACCUGCAGAAUAAGCACCGGCUAACUACGUGCCAGCAGCCGCGGUAAUACGUAGGGUGCAAGCGUUAAUCGGAAUUACUGGGCGUAAAGUGUGCGCAGGCGGUUCGGAAAGAAAGAUGUGAAAUCCCAGAGCUCAACUUUGGAACUGCAUUUUUAACUACCGGGCUGGAGUGUGUCAGAGGGAGGUGGAAUUCCGCGUGUAGCAGUGAAAUGCGUAGAUAUGCGGAGGAACACCGAUGGCGAAGGCAGCCUCCUGGGAUAACACUGACGCUCAUGCACGAAAGCGUGGGGAGCAAACAGG
rnacentral:rRNA from 1 species